UACGUAGGGUGCUAGCGUUGUUCGGAAUCAUUGGGCGUAAAGCGCGUGUAGGCUGUUAGUUAAGUCGGGUGUGAAAUCCCUGGGCUCAACCGAGGAAGUGCAUCCGAAACUAACUAGCUAGAAGAUGGUAGAGGAAGGUGGAAUUCCUAGUGUAGAGGUGAAAUGCGCAGAUAUCAGGAAGAACACCCGUGGCGAAAGCGGCUCUCUGGAACGGUACUGACGCUGAGACGCGAAAGCGUGGGGAGCGAACAGG
rnacentral:rRNA from 1 species